AUUGAACGCUGGCGGCAGGCCUAACACAUGCAAGUCGAACGGUAACAGGAAGAAGCUUGCUUCUUUGCUGACGAGUGGCGGACGGGUGAGUAAUGUCUGGGAAACUGCCUGAUGGAGGGGGAUAACUACUGGAAACGGUAGCUAAUACCGCAUAACGUCGCAAGACCAAAGAGGGGGACCUUCGGGCCUCUUGCCAUCGGAUGUGCCCAGAUGGGAUUAGCUAGUAGGCGGGGUAAUGGCUCACCUAGGCGACGAUCCCUAGCUGGUCUGAGAGGAUGACCAGCCACACUGGAACUGAGACACGGUCCAGACUCCUACGGGAGGCAGCAGUGGGGAAUAUUGCACAAUGGGCGCAAGCCUGAUGCAGCCAUGCCGCGUGUAUGAAGAAGGCCUUCGGGUUGUAAAGUACUUUCAGCGGGGAGGAAGGGAGUAAAGUUAAUACCUUUGCUCAUUGACGUUACCCGCAGAAGAAGCACCGGCUAACUCCGUG
rnacentral:rRNA from 1 species